rnacentral:tRNA from 1 species
UAAGGGUUAGUUUUUCUAAGAACAGUUGACUGUUAAUCAUCAGGUUUUACUCUUAG